rnacentral:rRNA from 1 species
AUUGAACGCUGGCGACAUGCCUUACACAUGCAAGUCGAACGGCAGCACGGGUGCUUGCACCUGGUGGCGAGUGGCGAACGGGUGAGUAAUACAUCGGAACAUGUCCUGUAGUGGGGGAUAGCCCGGCGAAAGCCGGAUUAAUACCGCAUACGAUCUACGGAUGAAAACGGGGGACCUUCGGGCCUCGCGCUAUAGGGUUGGCCGAUGGCUGAUUAGCUAGUUGGUGGGGUAAAGGCCUACCAAGGCGACGAUCAGUAGCUGGUCUGAGAGGACGACCAGCCACACUGGGACUGAGACACGGCCCAGACUCCUACGGGAGGCAGCAGUGGGGAAUUUUGGACAAUGGGCGAAAGCCUGAUCCAGCAAUGCCGCGUGUGUGAAGAAGGCCUUCGGGUUGUAAAGCACUUUUGUCCGGAAAGAAAUCCUUGGCCCUAAUACGGUCGGGGGAUGACGGUACCGGAAGAAUAAGCACCGGCUAACUACGUG